rnacentral:rRNA from 1 species
UACGUAGGGAGCAAGCGUUGUCCGGAAUCAUUGGGCGUAAAGCGCGCGUAGGUGGCUUCGUAAGUCCGUUGUGAAAGUCAAAGGCUCAACCUUUGAAAGCCGAUGGAUACUGCAGGGCUGGAGUCCGGAAGAGGCGAGUGGAAUUCCUGGUGUAGCGGUGAAAUGCGCAGAUAUCAGGAGGAACACCGAUGGCGAAGGCAGGUCUCUGGGCCACUACUGACGCUGAGAAGCGAAAGCAUGGGGAGCAAACAGG